rnacentral:rRNA from 1 species
CGUGGAGACAGGUGGUGCAUGGCUGUCGUCCGCUCGUGUCGUGAGAUGUUGGGUUAAGUCCCGCAACGAGCGCAACCCUCACCCCUUGUUGCCAUCUGGUAAUGCUGGGCACUCUAGGGGAACUGCCCCGGUCAACGGGGAGGAAGGCGGGGAUGACGUCAAGUCAUCAUGCCCCUUACGCCCUGGGCUACACACGUGCUACAAUGGCCGGUACAAAGGGAUGCAAGACCGCGAGGUGGAGCCAAACCCAAAAAACCGGUCUAAAGUUCAGAUUGGAGUCUGCAACUCGACUCCAUGAAGGAGGAAUCGCUAGUAAUCGCGUAUCAGAACGACGCGGCGAAUACGUUCCCGGGCCUUGUACACACCGCCCGUCACACCACGAAAGUCAGCUGUACUCGAAGUCGCUGAG